rnacentral:lncRNA from 1 species
AAAGCCUGCCCCGUUCCCCCUUCAAAAGCAGCUGGGGUUUCCUCGUCUGAGUCCGGCGCGCCCCUCCCUUCCCGCAAGAUUCUCGUGAAUGCUGAGCCGUGCGGGGCUCCGGGAAGCCCCACUGUCCAGUUGGGGAAACCGGGUCUCCCCAAGGAGACUCCCGCACUCCAGCCCCGCCGACCCAGCAGAGCAAAGAUCCGCGGGUCUCCCCGCCGCUCCCCUCCCCCGCGGCCCCAUUGUCUGCCUCGCCCCGCCCCGGGGGACACGUGCGCCUGCAGCUUCCCGAGCAAGAAGAGCGCGGGGUGGCGGCGGCGUGGACACCGCCUGGAACGACUACGCGGCGGCGGCGCCGGGGCGGGGGCCGGUGCACCGACCGGUGG